AUUCUGUGAUGAGGGCACUUUAGUAAUAAUUCUUUGAAUCUUUCCCAUGCCUCAUACAAGGACUCAUCAUCCAUUUGUUGGAAAGUAGUAAUCUCAUUUCUCAGCUU
rfam:Gossypium hirsutum cultivar TM-1 chromosome 11, whole genome shotgun sequence